rnacentral:rRNA from 1 species
AGCAGUCGCCGCGGUAAUACGUAGGGCGCAAGCGUUAUCCGGAAUUAUUGGGCGUAAAGAGCUCGUAGGCGGUUUGUCGCGUCUGCCGUGAAAGUCCGGGGCUCAACCCCGGAUCUGCGGUGGGUACGGGCAGACUAGAGUGAUGUAGGGGAGACUGGAAUUCCUGGUGUAGCGGUGAAAUGCGCAGAUAUCAGGAGGAACACCGAUGGCGAAGGCAGGUCUCUGGGCAUUAACUGACGCUGAGGAGCGAAAGCAUGGGGAGCGAACAGGAUUAGAUACCCCUGUAGUCCCUGUCUCUUAUAC